rnacentral:rRNA from 1 species
UUAAGCGACUAAGCGUACACGGUGGAUGCCCUGGCAGUCAGAGGCGAUGAAGGACGUGCUAAUCUGCGAAAAGCGUCGGUAAGGUGAUAUGAACCGUUACAGCCGGCGAUGUCCGAAUGGGGAAACCCAGUGUGAUUCGUCACACUAUCGUUAACUGAAUACAUAGGUUAACGAGGCGAACCGGGGGAACUGAAACAUCUAAGUACCCCGAGGAAAAGAAAUCAACCGAGAUUCCCCCAGUAGCGGCGAGCGAACGGGGAGCAGCCCAGAGUCUGAAUCAGCUUGUGUGUUAGUGGAACGGUCUGGAAAGUCCGACGGUACAGGGUGAUAGUCCCGUACACCAAAAUGCACAGGUUGUGAACUCGAAGAGUAGGGCGGGACACGUGGUAUCCUGUCUGAAUAUGGGGGGACCAUCCUCCAAGGCUAAAUACUCCUGACUGACCGAUAGUGAACCAGUACCGUGAGGGAAAGGCGAAAAGAACCCCGGCGAGGGGAGUGAAAAAGAACCUGAAACCGUGUACGUACAAGCAGUGGGAGCACCUUCGGGUGUGACUGCGUACCUUUUGUAUAAUGGGUCAGCGACUUAUAUUCUGUAGCAAGGUUAACCGUAUAGGGGAGCCGCAGGGAAACCGAGUCUUAACUGGGCGUUAAGUUGCAGGGUAUAGACCCGAAACCCGGUGAUCUAGCCAUGGGCAGGUUGAAGGUUGGGUAACACUAACUGGAGGACCGAACCGACUAAUGUUGAAAAAUUAGCGGAUGACUUGUGGCUGGGGGUGAAAGGCCAAUCAAACCGGGAGAUAGCUGGUUCUCCCCGAAAGCUAUUUAGGUAGCGCCUCGUGAAUUCAUCUUCGGGGGUAGAGCACUGUUUCGGCUAGGGGGUCAUCCCGACUUACCAACCCGAUGCAAACUACGAAUACCGAAGAAUGUUAUCACGGGAGACACACGGCGGGUGCUAACGUCCGUCGUGAAGAGGGAAACAACCCAGACCGCCAGCUAAGGUCCCAAAGUCAUGGUUAAGUGGGAAACGAUGUGGGAAGGCACAGACAGCCAGGAUGUUGGCUUAGAAGCAGCCAUCAUUUAAAGAAAGCGUAAUAGCUCACUGGUCGAGUCGGCCUGCGCGGAAGAUGUAACGGGGCUAAACCAUGCACCGAAGCUGCGGCAGCGACACUAUGUGUUGUUGGGUAGGGGAGCGUUCUGUAAGCCUGCGAAGGUGACCUGUGAGGGUUGCUGGAGGUAUCAGAAGUGCGAAUGCUGACAUAAGUAACGAUAAAGCGGGUGAAAAGCCCGCUCGCCGGAAGACCAAGGGUUCCUGUCCAACGUUAAUCGGGGCAGGGUGAGUCGACCCCUAAGGCGAGGCCGAAAGGCGUAGUCGAUGGGAAACAGGUUAAUAUUCCUGUACUUGGUGUUACUGCGAAGGGGGGACGGAGAAGGCUAUGUUAGCCGGGCGACGGUUGUCCCGGUUUAAGCAUGUAGGCUGGUUAUCCAGGCAAAUCCGGAUAAUCAAGGCUGAGGUGUGAUGACGAGGCACUACGGUGCUGAAGUAACAAAUGCCCUGCUUCCAGGAAAAGCCUCUAAGCAUCAGGUAACAUCAAAUCGUACCCCAAACCGACACAGGUGGUCAGGUAGAGAAUACCAAGGCGCUUGAGAGAACUCGGGUGAAGGAACUAGGCAAAAUGGUGCCGUAACUUCGGGAGAAGGCACGCUGGUGUGUAGGUGAAGCCCCUGCGGGUGGAGCUGAGACCAGUCGAAGAUACCAGCUGGCUGCAACUGUUUAUUAAAAACACAGCACUGUGCAAACACGAAAGUGGACGUAUACGGUGUGACGCCUGCCCGGUGCCGGAAGGUUAAUUGAUGGGGUUAUCCGUAAGGAGAAGCUCUUGAUCGAAGCCCCGGUAAACGGCGGCCGUAACUAUAACGGUCCUAAGGUAGCGAAAUUCCUUGUCGGGUAAGUUCCGACCUGCACGAAUGGCGUAAUGAUGGCCAGGCUGUCUCCACCCGAGACUCAGUGAAAUUGAACUCGCUGUGAAGAUGCAGUGUACCCGCGGCAAGACGGAAAGACCCCGUGAACCUUUACUAUAGCUUGACACUGAACAUUGAGCCUUGAUGUGUAGGAUAGGUGGGAGGCUUUGAAGCGUGGACGCCAGUCUGCGUGGAGCCAACCUUGAAAUACCACCCUUUAAUGUUUGAUGUUCUAACGUUGGCCCCUUAUCGGGGUUGCGGACAGUGUCUGGUGGGUAGUUUGACUGGGGCGGUCUCCUCCCAAAGCGUAACGGAGGAGCACGAAGGUUAGCUAAUCCUGGUCGGACAUCAGGAGGUUAGUGCAAUGGCAUAAGCUAGCUUGACUGCGAGCGUGACGGCGCGAGCAGGUGCGAAAGCAGGUCAUAGUGAUCCGGUGGUUCUGAAUGGAAGGGCCAUCGCUCAACGGAUAAAAGGUACUCCGGGGAUAACAGGCUGAUACCGCCCAAGAGUUCAUAUCGACGGCGGUGUUUGGCACCUCGAUGUCGGCUCAUCACAUCCUGGGGCUGAAGUAGGUCCCAAGGGUAUGGCUGUUCGCCAUUUAAAGUGGUACGCGAGCUGGGUUUAGAACGUCGUGAGACAGUUCGGUCCCUAUCUGCCGUGGGCGCUGGAGAAUUGAGGGGGGCUGCUCCUAGUACGAGAGGACCGGAGUGGACGCAUCACUGGUGUUCGGGUUGUCAUGCCAAUGGCACUGCCCGGUAGCUAAAUGCGGAAGAGAUAAGUGCUGAAAGCAUCUAAGCACGAAACUUGCCCCGAGAUGAGUUCUCCCUGAGACUUUAAGUCUCCUGAAGGAACGUUGAAGACGACGACGUUGAUAGGCCGGGUGUGUAAGCGCAGCGAUGCGUUGAGCUAACCGGUACUAAUGAACCGUGAGGCUUAACCUU